UGUGAGGGGGGGAAGGCGGAGGGCUUUCCGAGAUGGUGGUUUUCACCAGGGGAACAGGCUACCACACACAGCUGCCUCUCAUGAAUUUGGGAUGGGAAAUCAAAGAGGAGGAGCUGUAACACAUCCCUGGGUCAGUGCCAAAAGAAGAUAAAGGAACAGCUGCAAGAUACUGCAGAGUGAAGAAUGGUAAUUCAGCAGAAGCCAGAAAUCAAACCCAGAGGUACCAAGAGAAUGGGAAGCCCAGAAGUAUCUCAGGGAGUUUGGGAGAGCACCAACUUCCCAUAACACAUGGGAUGAGGUUUCCAGGAUUCAAUGAGAAGACAGCAGUCUGCAAUCCAGAAGAGGACCCUCACCAGAAUGCAACCCUGCCAGCAUGCUGAUCUAGGAUUUCUAGCCUUCCAAACUGCGAGAAAUAAAUUUCAUUUGUAUAUAAGCCAUCCAGUCUGUGGUGCUUUGUCAUACCAGCCCCAAAUGACUAAAACAAUAGGUGGUGUGUGUUUCGAUUUUGAUCCUCUCCUUUGAUCAUUCCAUCCUGCUUUAUUUGUUUCUGUUUUCCCCUGUGGUUCCAUACUCCAAUGUAAACCAUGUUGGCCACAGUGAUAGAUCACUGUUUUUUAUUAUUUUUAGAGUUGGUUAGCCAGAACAAUAAAAAUUAAAUUUAUCAAAUCUAUGUAGUAUGAGCAGGCUAGUGAAAACUAAAAUUUAAAUAAUAAUAGAAAAGCCUAAAGUUAGCUGGAAAGAGCAUAUCCAAUUCAGCUAAAUCACUUAUUCAUUGAAUUCAACAAAUACUCUGUGCCAAAUACUCUGCUAGGUUCUGGAACUUUGAAUAUGAAAAAACCCAGUUGUCCCUCUCCAUGAGUUCACAGUUCAGUGGGGAUACAAAAGCAAAUACUUAUGAUACAAUGUAGGAAGUGCAAAAUAUAAAAACAAUCAUGGCUUUUAUGAGAUCACUGAAGAAAGAGGCACUUAGUG
rnacentral:lncRNA from 1 species